AACAAAACAAGAAGUCAGGACUUCCAUUUCUUCUGCUGUGAAUGACAAUGACCCGCUUCAGUGUGCGUCCACAUUCUGUCAUGAAUUAAUUAAUAUUCAAGCAAGGUCUCUGCUCUCAUGCACAGGAGUGUUGUUCAGUUUUUAGAUUCUACUCCAGCAUGACAGCUCACAAGAUAACCUACCAGCACCACCACCAUCCCCCAGCAGUGCACCCUGACCUUAAAAUGACAACACAGGGCAGCAGCAGCAGCAGCAGCUGGCUCACAGGGGAAAUGGAGGGCGAAGUGAGCAGCGAGACAGCUGUAAGUGAGGAAUGCUAGCCAGCCUGAGUGACCUUUCACCCCAGGCCUCCACCCAUAUAGCCGUGGGAGCAGCCUGCUGCUGACACACAGCAAUCAGGAACUUGCUCUUCAGGUUUCGACUCCAGUGGGUGGGUGUGCACAGACGGUUAGCAUACUUCUCACCACCUGCAAGCCUAAACCUAAGAAAAUUGCUGGAACUUGUCUUUAACAUUUGCUUGUACUAUUUCAAAUACUAAUUCAAAUACAUACAGUCUAAAACACCAACUUGCCCUCUGGGUCUUUAUACUUGUUGGUGCAAGUUUGUUCUAUACCUCCUACAUCAUCUUGUUUUCUUGAAAAAAAAUAUUACUAAAAAAAUAUUACUAAAUAAUUUUAUAACUAAAAUUAUUAACUUGGUAUUCAAUCCUCACAGAGACAUCUUCCUGUGUCUCCAAGUAACAGUCGUUUUACAGACCAACUCUGCUUAAAUUUUAAUGCACUUCACCACUAAAUGCAUGCACCUCUGUGUAAAAAUGUCAAAACUGGUUUGUACAUGUGAAUCCCAAACCUUUUGAAAUACUACAGCAUGUCACUUCCUGUCAGAACAAUGUGGGAUAACGAGUCAAAUAUUAAAUCUUAAAAACUAUGAAAUGUUUCUACAAGGUGUUCUUUAUGCACAAAGACCCUUCUUUUAUUGAAACACUUAUGUUUCUUAAAAAUAAAGACCAAACAUGGAAAAGAGAUUAUCUUAAGAUGAGGCUCCACAAACCCAAAAUAACCUCUCACUGUUAGGACAUGCAUGGGUGUUUUCUAUCUCCACAUCUCAUCAUUUUCUGUCUGCCACGUCAUCCACCACAGAAAUCCUCUUCUUCACACACACGCACACACACACAAAAAUCUGCAUCUAUAAUAGCUGCCUGCCACUGCAUGUGACAUAUGACCGAGUACAAUGCAUUCACUGUGCUAGUUACGAGUGUUUUCAGAUGUUUGAGUGUUACUGACAGGAUUCUUUGCAGAGCACACUGCCUUUUGCAGUUUGUGUGUGUGCAUGUAAGAGUGUGUUGAUUCCUUGCAAGCACUACAGAUGCGCUGGAAGUACCGUGGGGCUCUACACGCAGCAAAGACAACAAACAAAGGCUUCAAUGGGCAAAUAAAGGAAAAAUAUUUCCAUCCUUAUGGUUCUUAAGUGUAACAGCUGGUUAUAGCUUAGAGUGUGAUUCCUACACAAUAAAGUCUGCUUAUCUUCUGUCAUUACUACUAAUAAAACAAGUUGGGGCCAAAAUCCAGGAGGUCAGGUUUCUGUAUUGGCAUAAAACGAGCUAUAAGCACUUAAAUUACCACCUUUACCUGUGCUUACAUUAAACUUCUCGGAACAAAUUCAUACUACAUAACUUAACAACUUAACACUGUGGCGCAUGCUGUAAUCAGAGUUUUGUAGUAAAGGAAUUUGUGCUGAGAUGAACUGCUUUGUCUCUCCGCCUUACACUGGAGCUGUUCAUGAUGUAUUUGUAAAAGCACCACUCCCUCAUCUUUUUGCCCUCUGGCUUUGCAUAAGGAUGUGUUGUGUUGUGUUGCGUUUCAGUCCCUCAGCCGGCCCAGCCCACUUUUUCUCCCCAGGGCAUAACACUGUGUGUGUGUGUGUGUGUGUGUGUGUGUGUGUGUACACACACUGGUGUAUAUGCACAUCAGUGUAGCUCCUGCAGGGGGCUUUGUUUUCCAUUAUAAUCUGUAUAAAGAAGAAAUUGACAAUAGUGUGUGUGCACUGCAUGUUCCUCAUUAGUCAGUGUCUAUCCCCUAUUCUCCUUCUGUGGCACUUUGAUGGACUACAAACUCACUGGCAUUAUCCCUCAUGUUUUGUUCUGGGCCUGCAUGUGUUGUGUUCAAAAUUUGUUCACCUGAACCUGAUGUUCUUGUAAGGUCUCUUUAUCUCUCUCUUUACCUUCAAAAGGAGCAGCAGCUCAGUGAGUUUCAGCUGUAGUCAGUCUGGCAUGAGAUCCUGCAGGACCAGGCAACAGAGGACUGUCUGUGCUUGCAGCUACAUGUUACCUUACUGAUGCACUGACUCAUCAGACCACAGACAGAAGUUAUGCUCGCAAUCAUGUAAUCACACAAUGUACAUUCCUAGCUUUUCUAACUAAAGGAGUGGCCCCUUCUUGUCCGUCAGGAUGAUAAAUGACUACUCACUAUCUACCUUUUGAUUUUACUGUAUAUAGCAAUGGGAAUAAAUUGACAGAAAUGAAAUGUCAGACUCACCUUAGCUUUAAAUUCUGUGCUUUCCAAACGGUUUUUAAAAGAGAGACUAAAAACAUUUUAUUGAUCCACUGCUAAGGGCACAGAGCCCACACAAGCUUUUGUUUUACAAAGAACUACAGCAGUGUCCACACAGAACUUUCCUGUUCUCUGUAAAUCAGGGACAGUGUUUGUGUAGUCUUUGUUUUCCUGGGCGAGGCAGUGGGUUCAGCCAACUGUUGCAAUGCAGCGACACGCCCCGCAUAUCACCUAGGUUACUGAAAAUCUGUUCAGGCACUGUACUGUGGGGGUUUUAUCUGCUGACCCAUCUGAUGUCUGAAGCCAUGCUCACUUGUUUGCUGGUUAAGUGUUGUUCCCUCUUGGGUUCUCUCAAUCCCCCCCCUUGCAUUGUUCAGUACUGACUGUUAUGUACCUUUGACUGGACUUUGCUCCCUUCCAGUUAAUGUGUGACGCAUCCUUUCAGUCUUUCGCUGUACCUUGCUCUAUGUCAUUGUCAUUCACCCAUGCAAAUGCACGGUAACAGGAGCCACACUUUUUAAUCUGGAAAAACACAUGCCUCACACCCGUUACCUCCCACUAUCUUGUUAAGCAACAGCCUCUGUAGGAUGACUUUAGUGGGCUUCUUCCAAAAGAAAAAAAAAAAGAAAAAACCCUGCUCAGUAAAACCAGGAAUGCAUAUCAGUGAAAGCUGCCAGUGAGCGAGUUGCAACAGAAAAGCAGAGAUGGAUACUGUUCAGAGCCCAAUACUGAAACACUAGUGUGACAUUCCACACUAACAUAGUAUAUUAAAUCUGUCCUGAGUCUGACAGUGAAUCUUGUGCUGAAAAAAGUCCACACAGUUUUACUCCUUCUUACACUUAACUUUUCUAAAAUAAACUCACUGACUCACUCAUCAACUGCUGAAACUAACAGAUACUAAGCAUACACGACUGCUGUGACAGUGGAUGAGUAACUGUGUUCUCAGCCAUGAGAACAGAUUGGCUAUCCUGUCCUCCCCCCCCACAGGCAUGUCAGACAGGGAGUGUCUCCUCAGCAGUGACAGGCUCUCAACAAGGGUGUGGCGGCAGAUUGUGUGGGUGUUUGAGCUAACUGGGUGAGGCUGAAUACACCUAAUGGCUACAGAGGCUAAACAGUAGAUGUGACAUUUUAUUCUCUUCCACAUAUCCUCCCAAUAAUUAACAAGUAAUGCAGAUAAAAAGUAGGUAUAGUUAUGAAAAACAUUCCAGCCAGCCAGAUUUUUACUUUGCUGGUCUAAGCUGUUCUUUGUAUCACAGCAGGAAUGAAUCAGGUCAGGGAAGAGGCCCGGGGGGCUGGAGAUGAGAGUGGCUCCUAACAUACACUGCAGUGUUCGCAGUGAUUUGUUAUUCAGCCUCAUGCCUGUUCGGCAGGAAGGGGUGUAAUAACAUUGCCUGUUUUUUUCAGUUAGUUCUUCUGGGCCUUUGCACACCUGCGGGAGAAGACUGUCAAGUGUAAGGGAAUAGACUGACAUUUUGCUGAGAGCUACAGGAGAAAACUGACACCGUUCUUAUGUCUGUGUGGUAAUUAUUAAGCUACAGCCAGCGGCCAGUUAUCUUAGCUUAACACCAAAGACUAGAAACAAAAGGAAACAGCUAGCCUGGCUCUGCCCAAAUAAAAGAAAAUACAUCAACUAGCACAUCUAAACUUUAUUAAUUAAAAUGAUGUUGUCUUCCAGAAAGUGAAGAGUAAAAAGGUCAAAAGACAGACUGGUCACUUGAUCCCACUGUAAAAUUAUAGCUUUUCAUUUCUACACUUAGCUAACACAGCUUUAUGCUAAACUAAGAUAACUGUCUUCCGGGUAGCUUCAUGUCUAUAAUCAUCGUUGUGAGAGUGGUAACAAUCUUCUCUCCUUUAACUGCAGCAAGAGUGCUAUGAUUUGUUUAUAGUAAUUGCACGUUCUGAUGGUUAUCCGAGCAUUAGGGCUUUGCUGUAGAAACUUAACCUCAUCUGGUGGCCUGUGAUUUCUAACAGGCUUGCUAAUGUCAUGUUUAGGCUGACACGCAAAUAAAGCAGAUUAUGUUACUGCACAUCUGUAAAGCUUCCUGUGCCAUCUGCACAGACACAGAUCAACUAUUUACAUAUAUGCCAGCCCCACACACAUGCACACACCCGGGUCACAUAUACGCCUCUUGACAUGCAACCCACACUCCCUCUUACUAUAAACUGGUUCCCACAGGACUUUAACACAACACCCGGCACUCUGACAGCACAAUCCUCCUGACACUUUAAAUGGCAAGUGAAGCCAGCUGAGCCUCCAGAGCAGGCAUGGAUGCAGUUGACAUUAUGCUCUCUCCAUCGUCUCCACAGAGUUGGGGUUCAGCCGUCCCAUUGGGAUACAGCUUAACACACCCACUAACCUUCCUGGUCACCAAACCACAAGUCCCUUACCCCCCCCCCCAAACUCCCCGGUCCAACAAUAGCUGUUACAGCAAUGUUAUGGAGGCAGUGGGGACUAACUGCAUAGCUGUUUGUUAUAAAUCAAUAAGGGAGGAUGUGAAGUGGUGCACAACUAAUGGAUUUAUUGUGGUGGGUGACAGGAAGUGGUGGUCAACAUUAUCUGACUCACCAACACUGCUGGGCUGUCUGGUCAGACAGGGGAAGUUUAUUAGAAGAAAGCACAAUUUCACAACCACUCCUACAUACUGGAUACGCAAACUACAGUGACAAACUAGUAUGCUGUAUCACGUCAUGCGCUAAGUUGAGAAGAAGUGUAAAGUCCACAUUUUGUAAAAGCACUCGCUCUCUGAGGGAGAGCGAGAGAGAGAGAGAGAGAGAGAGAGGGAGAGGGAGAGGGAGGGAGAGCAUUUGUCAAUUGACUGUAACAGGCAGUUGAUAAAAUCCAGACCAUAGCAACGUGGCCAUGCCAAGAGCCCACAGAGAAAGAACAGACAACAAGAUACUGCUGGAGUUCAGUGCACUUGUGCAACACAUAAACUGAGUUUGUCUUAAUGUGGCAGAUGCAGCACAGCGUGCUCUCCUUCUCUCUGAUUUGGAAACAUUCCCAACAACACAAUCAACCACAGCCAAUGAAUAAAAUAAGCAGCAGAAUGGAUAAUGGCCGAUUGAGUCGCUGCAGCUACUUAAAUGACUUAAAUUAGGCCAAUGGAUGCAGUAUGGUGGCUGUAAACUGGUGUGUAGUUGUUUACUCCCUGUGGGAUCUUGCUGUGAAUCAAAGGAAAUGUGAGCUGCCUCAGAGGAGGUGGCUGAGAGCAGAGCCGGAUCAAGUUGCACGAAGCUGAUAAAGAAGGAGUGAAUGAGUAAAAAAGGGUGUACCCCACAUAGCAAUUAAGUAUACGGCAACAAAGUUCACAAAGUGGUCUAUCACAUAUCUGAUAUGGGAAAGGAGAAGUAUGUCCAAAGAUUGUCUUCCCUAUCAGGAACAAUGCAUCAUAAAAGAUGUGGAAAUCAAAUGGUGAGAUUCCAUUUCACUAUUUCAAAAAAUCGAAUCCAUCAUUUGAACAUUUCAUUCCCAGUUACUUGAUUUUUGAGCAUAGAGCAUGUUUUAAGGGCUGUGAUUUUGUCUUUGGACGUGUGGUAAGUAGGAUGUGCCCCCCCUCCAUGUUGUUUAGUCGAUGGUAGGAAGGAAGAGGAUGAACUAAGUCUCUGAUACAGCACAGAGAGCUUCUGUGCUACUUUGUUUGGGGUAGAGAGGAAAAGAGUAGCCGCAUUGUCCCAUUGACUACUGUCAGAGUGAAAAGGAAACUGGGUCUCAAGUGUCCCCACUGGAUGCCACCAAAAAAGGCUGAAGCACAUCAAGAUGGCUCUGUGUGUUCAUGGGCCAAGUUUGACGGCCAACACUGCAUCCAAAGCCCCAUUUAAUGGCCUGACUAGGAGUUUCUUUCUUUCUUUUUUUUAUUUUGAACUGCCACUGCUACGCAUCGGUGUGCUGCUGAGCACUGAGGCGAUGUGACAGAUGAUUAAUUUUUCAGGGAGAUUUGAGGCACGAGGGAGCAGGAGGAGGAGGGUGCUUUGGAGAGCGGUGCAAAAGUCUAAAGGGACCCUGAAGAAUAAAACGAGUUGAGCUGACAAGUUUACUGUUUGUUCCUCUGCAUGCAAACCACAACCAAAAUAGACAAAAAAAAAAAUAAAAAAUCCUAAAUAUCUGGAGAGUAAAAAGCUAGCAUUAUUAAAAAUUGAGUGACUUAUACUGACAACAGCCAUGUCAUUUGUUUUUUAUGUUACUAUUGUCACAUGAAAACUUAAAAACUAAAAUGCAAACUUUUAAGGAACAAAGAAGAAAUGAAAAAGGGAGAAUAGCAGCCCUGAUUGUCUAAAAGACCCAUGCAUUUUUCAGUUUAUCCACUGUUUUGUAAAGUAUUCACGGGCCCCAGGGUUGUGCAGCUUUCUCAACCCAUGAGAGCAUGACAACCUUCAAAAGCAGCAAAACAAAGAAAAACAACCAGAAACUGAGUUAUGAGAUUUUUCACUAAGUGGUGACGAUAUGCAAAAUUUACUUUCUUGUGAGAUGCUGAUGUUCUCCAAGGUUGCGUAUCUAACAAGUCAAGCCUCCCUGGUGAUUUGCUUUCAGUUUCAACCACACCCUCGUUGUCCUCACUUUCCUCAAUCUCUCAUAGAAGUGUAAUUAAGGGACAGGGAGGAGGAGGAGAAGAAAAACACACACAGCAGGACUCAUCAGAGUCACUAUGCUGAGAAGUACAGCUCAGCCAAAUCAUCCAACUGUGAAAACACUGUCUUUUGAGUCAGUGCUGGAAUCUAGUUCACUCCAUCCCUGCUUGGAUACAUAGUUGGUAAUGAAAAAAAUAUCACUGGUAAUGUAUUCAUGAAGAAAACAGUCAAAUUCAGCCAUUUCCAGCACGCUGUUAGACUUACGUUAGGAGCUGACCUGAAAUGACCAAGGUGGCAGACUUUCAUACAGUUUUGUGACAAGUGUGACCAAUGGGAGGAAGCAACCAUUAGGUCUUAAGUAAGGGACAUUUUCUUGCCCUCAUUUUGAUCCGACCAAGAGAACUGUUGAAGGUAAAUAAUUAAUUUCAGUGACUGUCAUGGGUAGGGUUCAGCUGGGCAAUAGCAGCUUUACUGGCUCAGCAUUAUACCACUGUGCUCUGCUGGAAGCUUCUGAUUUGGCAUUUUGUCGGUGACAGCAGAAAUCUUCUGCAUGAAUGGAUGUUUUCCGACAAUACUGCCAAUUAUUUAAUUACCGCAUUAAUCUUAAACAAAGAGACUCAAAAAAUGUCAGCUGUAUUGAAUCAGUCUCUUUACUGGAUAUUUAAUGUUUAGCUGCACUUGCCUGGUUUACUUUUAUAGAUUAAAGCUUAAGACAUCAGUUUUGAAAGUAAAUGAACCACUGAUUCCCUGUUGGUCAGAAUUAAUACUCAUGAAUCAAACCGUGGAUGUCUGAAAGGGUGCAUGGUUGAAUAAAUCUGCUUUGGUUUUACAAAAGCAUUGUCUGAUGAAGAUUUCCUUUUAAACCACUGGAAGUUAACCACAGAGAGAUUUUGAUGCUGUCACACCAGCUUCCCCUAAACUUCAACUACAAACCCCCCUAUCAUCGCUGACGGGAAACUUUAUCUCUCUUCGUCCUCUUCUCCAUGGGAACAGUAAAACACAGAAGAAGGGUGAUAUGCAAACAGAGAGCAGAUCACACGACAUGUGCGCCGAAUGGCUGUAACUGAGCCCCUGGAAAGUACUCAGUCAGGCACGACUGGUCAGGGACAGAGGCGAGGUAAGACAGUGGAUCUACAGAGGAAAAAAAUCCUCCCAGCUACACAUAGAGGUUAGGGAUAUAUGCCAUACAGUAAUCCCCUUUGGAAAGUGUAGACCUAUUUAUGAACUGAAGGAUCUCCUGGCCUCUUGCUCUGCUAAUGUAGGACAGUAUCAGGGAAUUAAGCAGGAGGGGGGGAUUAUCACCGUGCCACCGCAGCUGUAGCUGCAAAAUCUACAGUAAGUCAAACCCCCCCCCCCCCCCAACACACACACGCCACCAUCCCACCACCCAUUGACCCUCUUCACUGAGGCCAGACGGGAACAGCUUUCCAACUAGGGUGCUGUCUGCUGCUGCGCUACUUGAUGACACAGGGGCAAGCUCAGUGAGGCCUGUCUGGCAGAAAGUAUUGGCACUCUGUCGUAUUCAACCUGACACACAUUCACCAAGCUCAGCUGGACACAUUGGUUUGGAAACAAGUUGGAUGCCACAGACUUGUUUAGCGCUGUUCUUGGUGCCUUGUGGUGAUGUAACUUGCUGAUAAUCCAAACAAGAGAACAAACAAUAGGUAAUGUGAUUUCAUGUUUAAUGAAGGGGAGGCUCGUUUUUUUAAGAAAAGCUGUUUAACUCCUAAUUCUGAUGUGACCAGAAGUUGGCAGUGGAGAACACUGCAAACAACUUAAUCGCAUAAGAAAAAUCGGAUAAGAUAAAAGUCAUUUCAACUGGAUGCCAAUUUCAGUGGAUUUACUCAUGAAAUCUAAUUGGAAAUUGGUUCUCCAGUGUUCACUAAGCAGGACUGGCUGUUCUGUCAAGUCCAGAGCAUCUGCAAAGGUAAUGACAUCAUGGAAGAUUUGGCAACACCUGGAGACAUCACUUCUGGCAUGAACAGCAGACUGGGAGUGAAUGAGAGCCAUAGUAACACCAGUAAAAUUCAGGGCUAUGAUUUAUUUCAGUGUCAUACAUUACAGAUGUUACUCCUCCGUGCACGAUUAGCUCACUGUAUUAUUCACUGCCGUUUGAGCUCAAAUAUUUGAGCUGAGGGAAGCAACUAAGACUAUUGUCAUUUUCAUGCACAACUUAUUUUCUUGAUUAAUUGUUAUUCUGUAAGGCAGAAAAAUGUGAGUGAGAUCUUCUAAUGUAUUCAACUUAUCAUCAUAGAGGACCAAGAAAAGACCACGUACUUAUUUUUGAAAGUCUUUUUUUGCACUUUUACUUCAAAAAUGACAAUAAAUCGAUUUUCCAAAUAGUUGCCAAUUAAUCUUCUGUCAACCCACUUACCAGUUAAUAGCUCUACUUUAGUGUAUGUUGGCUGGAACAAUAGGAUUAAAUGCUUUGUUGUUGUCUUGCCAACAUGAUUAGUGUCAACAAAGUUUUUCGUAACAUUAGCACCGAAAUUAAUUCUUUUUCUUUUUUGCUUUCACUUCAAAAUAUUACCGAUAUUGGCAAAACAUGCGCUAUUAAGCUCUGUGUUUUCACCUGCCUCUCUCGCACGCGGACACUCAAAUGUGCACGCGCACACAAACUUGGACACCAAUAAUGACGCUGUGGCACUCCAUUGACAAGUGACGUCAAGUUAAAUGAUCGAUACCGGGGCUAAACGGCGUUAUGGUUCGACAGAAAUGGCUAAUUAAUACUUUCGGGAGCGAAACAGCUUAGUUUAACGUAAUAAAACAAACUUCUGGCGACCGGAGAGCUCGCAUAUUUCUCCGAAACAGCAGGCAGCAGUGACCACUUUCAGGCAUGCGGAAAUGAACUACAAAUACAAUACAGCUGAAUUUGCACUAAGAGGAGACUACGACGGCGCCUUGUGUUGACAACCAUUUCGUGUACCUGUAUGACGACCGACCACACCUUCAUUACGACACGAAACCAGACGACGAGAUGAGUCACCGCGGCCGGGAAAGAAAUGGCCCCAUUGUCCUUGGGAGAGGAAGUGGCCUGGAGCAGACCACUAGCUCAGAGGAUAGAUGGAGGCCGUGGUAAAUUAUUAAUCAUCACCUACAAAUGGAAGACAUGCAGAGACUGUAGCGUUAGCUGUCUACUGAGGAAUAUUUUGGAACAAUGGAUAGCAAAGCUGCAGCUGGCCACCUGUACCAGGAGGCAGAUACUUUUUAAGUACUCAUGAGUAUUAAAACACCUUUUAGUGACUGUGACAUUUACUGUAGACUUAAGUGCAAAAGUGAAGCAAGGAGAACAGAAAAUAGAAGAAUUUUUAAUUUGCCCAGAUUCAGUCCAGGAAUUACCAAACUGGAGCUUUUUGACAUUGGUUGAUUUUUGACAUUGGAAACAGCAGUUGACAAAAUAAUCUCUACUCAAGGUUCAUGAACUCACUAGUCCUGGAGCCUUUGACCAGAACAAACAACACUGUUUGUCAACGGCAAUACAUAGAAGCAUUUAAUCCUGUGGUAUAAAAAUCUUUUAUUUUUUGUUGAUUAGUACUUUUGAAUGUAAAAUUAGAAUUCCUCAUUUUAUGAAGAUAUCCACAAAAGUUAAGACUGACCUUUUGAACCAGAUGAUCAUUGUAAAAUAUUUCAGUUCAUUCAGACUUUAACCACUAGAGGUAGACAGAGACUCACACAAUCAGUUCACACUCAGCAAGACAAGUUUCAGUCAGAUCAGAUGUGUGUGUGUGUGUGUGUGUGUGUGUAAGUUUGAGGGUUUGUAGUAUUUCUUUGCACAUUCUCAGGCAGGGUUGGUGCAUGACUAUUGGGGUUAAAAUAGCUCAGCAAAUAGCUCCAUCCUCAUAUGGGCGUCCUCACUAGUUUAGUAAGUUCCAGAUAAAGAAAGAGAGGAGGCUAAAAAUAACUACAGAUGUUGCUGUAAUGGCAGACACAACAAUCAGACAGGUGAUCCUAAUGGAACUGGUCUGGUUAAGAUAUGUGAUUAAAUCAUUAAUGUUCAUGAGAGCUACUGCUAAAUAGUUGCUAAUAAUUGCACAAUGAUAGCUUUGUUUAUUUAUCUGCAGAUUAUACAUCAGAUUAUAGUCUUUGGGAUUUAGGGAAGAAAGUUUGUCAUGUGUUGUAUACUCUCUGUGUCAGAUAUGGUCAACCAGAAAUAUCCACAGCGUGUGAUGUAAUUUCUCUGGCUUAAAAUACAUUUCAUGUGACCAAUUGCUAUUACAGAGCUUUGCUCAGUUUCCAUGUGAGGUGUCUAUUACCUUCUCCUAUAUGUUGCAUGAACAUGAUAUGUAGGGUAACUUAUAAUCAGGAUAUCACUGCAGGUUUGAACCUGAAACCUUUAUGUGGACUUCCUACUCUACAAUAGUCAGUCUCAGAGGUUCAGGUUUCCUCUUUUCUUACGAAAACAGCAAAAGAUAUAUCAUAAAUUGUUGACGUUUUUCUAUAUGGUCCACUGUUGUGUGAUGGAAAUUAGAAUUUAGUUGUAGAACUACAUGUCCCAUGAUGCCUCGCUUUCAAGAUGACCAAAUGGAACACAGUGCAGACCAGCCGCGGUGACAGCUGAGCUUCAAGUUUGCUGAGGGAAACUUCAGCGCCGACCACGACCUUGAACAGAGACGAAUGAAACAAACAUGACACACUCAGGACAGGGCAGAAGCCGGCCGGUAAAGCAGCACUAGCAACAAAGAUUAUUUAAUUUGAUGGGGAUAGACUAAACGGGACCUACACAGAUCAUCACAUGCUAAGAUAAUUACUGCAGAAGCACAUCAUAUUCCUCUCAGACAAGUCAGAGCCUGAUGCGCUGGAAGCUUGUGUUUUCUCCCUGAGCCGCCAGGGGGCCUCAGUCCCACAGUGGGACACCCAGCUCUGAGUUUGCCUUCACCCUGAACCCUCCAACCCCAGUCAAGCUGUCCCACCCUGCCUUCUCUCCAUCCUCUUCUUCUCCUGCUCCUCUUUCUCCUCCCUCUUGGCACCAACAGACC